CAGUGUCGGAAACAGGAAAGUUUUAAUAAAAAGUUUUGAUAAAAAGUAAAAUAACAAAACUUUAAAUNCACCAAAUUCUCUCAGGGAACCCCAGAAGGCUCCCAGGAGAUGCCACAAGGUCGGGGGGAAUCCCAGGGUGCUGCUGAGGGAGGGCUGGGACAGCUGAGACUGCUCAGAGGAGAAAAGCAACAGGAGAAGGGUCCAGGAGGGAGCCAGGGCCACCAGAUCCCAGGGGAACACCCUGAGAUCCCACAGGAACCUCCAGCAGAUCCCACAGGAACCUCCAGGAGAUCCAACAAGAACAUCCAGGAGAUCCCAUGGGAAGCAUCCACCAAAUUCCAUGGAAAGCUCCAGAAGAUCCCACAGGAAGCAUCCAGCAGAUCUCAGAGGAGCCUCCAACAGAUCCCAUGGGAACACCCACCAGAUCCCACACGGACCUCCAGAAGAUCUCAUGGGAACAUCCCGAAGAUCCCAUGGGAAGCAUCCACCAAAUUCCAUGGAAAGCUCCAAA
rnacentral:lncRNA from 1 species